AAUCAAUUAUUCAAAACACAAUUCAAUCAUCCAUAUAGAUAUUGAUGGGAUAUUGGCUAUAUAUAUAUGAACACCACACUUCAGAAAAUUGUUUGAUAUCUACUGUGGUAAGGUGUUCAAUAUCAAAAUGAGAAUUUUGUGCAUUGUUAUUCUUUUGGUGCUUGCAAUAGCUUCCAAUGCCGCACCAAGACCACAAUGGCUUUUAUCUUCGCCCUAUGGAUAUGCCUAUUCACCUUAUUCAUAUUACACUGGUUACGUUUCUCCAUAUUAUACACUUAAUACUUUAGGUUAUGGAUAUGCUGCACCAUACACAUACUAUAUUUGAACUAUAGUAACUAGACAAAUAACAGAACAGCACAUAUUCAAAGAUAAAUUAAUUAUUUGAAACUAUGGUACAAAUAAGAUGAUUUUUGCUGAUAGACAAUAAAGAAUCAAUAUUUUCUAAGACAUUCAAUACUAAAAAUUUGAUUCCCUUAUGAAAAACAAUACAAUUUUCAAUGCAAUGUUGUAAUCCAAGUGGAGGUUUUAUACAUAACAAAAAUUCACAAUACCUAUAGAAUUGUAACUUAAAAAAUAAUAAAUUACUCUUGAAAAUGGA